rnacentral:lncRNA from 1 species
GUUGGACAACAAUGUUGGACAAUAAAUUAUAUUAAUUAUAUUAAUAAGAAAGUUAUAUUUGUUCUUUAAGUUUUAUUGUAUAUCAUACAUACUAUACAAGUGUGUGUGUGUAUAUAUAUACAUAUAUAUUUCAUAUGUUCAUAAAUGGUAUCUACUGAUUUGAGAAAAGAAGAAUAUGUACAUUAAAUGUAAGUAAAGUUUCCUAUAGGUUAAUAGAGGGAGAAAUAACCAAAUCCCCAAAACCACUCCAAGUAAAUAAACAAAACCUCAGUUAUAUACCCAAUUGAAAUUUUAUCUGAAAUUCAUUUCAGUAAGUGCAUAUCACUCAGAGAACUUAAAAUCAUUUAGGUUAAAUAUUUAUUCUUGAAUAGUACCAUUUUAACAGGAAAGACCAUUAAGUCCACUAAAUCAGUGUGGAAACAUUUGACACUUAUCUUGUUUCUUAAUGUAUAUCAGUAAUAGACAGAGGAGUUAAUACAGACUGAGUAGGUAGAGUUAUAAGUAGCACAGGGCAUCUCAAGCCAUUCAGCUUUCACAGAUGGCUGUAGAUAUAUAAGUGGAAAGAAUAAGCUAAUAAAGACAUCUUUAAGAGAGGAAAAUGGGCUGACAGGGUACUCCAGUUUUCAAUGCAUGAGCUAUUUUAGAUUGGCAUGCUGCAAGCAAAAAGGGAUAGCGUUUGAAUGAAUCCUGUAUUGAGAAUAUUCAUCCAGUUGUGUAAGGAUAAAUAUAAUGGAGUGAUGUGGAUAUUAUCACAGUAUCAAAGCUUUGACAUGUCCAAGUAGAUAGAGCAAUGAAGCAAGAAUAAUAUAUUCUUGAAAGAACUAGGCAUUUAAAAAAUUAUGUCCAAAGGUAACACUUGACAAAAAUUCCAGACUGUUUCCUGAUAACUUUGUUAGUCUCUAUUUUAUGGACUAGUAAACUACAAUAACUUGGUGACCAUUUUCUGAUGUUCUUUUUAGCUAGAGGACGUAGUGUUGCCUGUUAAAGUUUAAUGAGAAUUAUGAUUAUGGCUACCAUCUGCUAAGGUAGUAACUGUGCUGUGGGGUUUCACUGCCACACCAUCAUGUCAUAUUCAGAACAACUCUGCAAGGAUAGCAUUAUUAUCUUCUUUUUACAAAGGAGAAGGGUUAUAAUGCGCCCAGUACACUACUGAUUUAUAGGCAUAUUUAUAUACCCAAUGUUUGUGACAGCCUCACCACCACAAUAUGUAAAUAUGGAGGCACAUAAUAUUUUAUGUGUGGAAUUAAAAAAACUAAUUUUGCUUUUGGAAUAAAUUAAUAUUGAGCUUUUGCUCAGCAAAGGAAAUUAUUAAAAAAAAACAAAAACACAACCUAUGGAAUGGGAAAAAUCUUUGCAAACAAAGCAACCAACAAGAGCCUAAUCUUCAAAAUAUACAAACAUCUCAUACAACUCAACAACAAAAAAGCUAAUUGAAAAUUUGGCAGAAGAUAUUUCUCCAAAGAAGAUAUACAGCUGGCCAGUAGGCACAUGAAAGAAUAAUCAACAUCACUAAUUAUUAGAGAAAUGCAAAUCAAAACUACAAACAGGUAUCACCUCACAUCAGUUAGCAUGGCUAUCAUUAACAAGUCGACAAAUAACAAAUACUGGAGAAUCCUCCUUCACUGUUGGUGGGAAUGUAAAUUGGCACAAACAAUAUGAAAAACAGUAUGGCAAUACCUCAGAAAACUAAAUAUAGAACUAUUAUAUGGUCUAGCAGUCCCACUUCUGGGCAAAUACGCUGACAAAGCUUUCAUUCAAAAAGAUGUUUGCACCCAUAUGUUCAUUGCCGCACUAUUCGCAAUAGCCAAGACAUGGGAGCAACCUAGGUGUCCAUCGAUGGAUGAAUGGAUUAAGAAGAUGUGGUACAUAUACGUAAUGGAAUUCUACUCAGACAUAAAAAAGAACAAAAUAAUGCCAUUUGCAGCAACAUGGAUUCAACUAGAGAUUCUCAUACUAAGUGAAGUAAGUCAGAAAGAGAAAGACAAAUACUGUAUGAUAUCACUUAUAUCUGGAAUCUAAAAUGUGACAGAGAAGUUCCCAUUGUGGCUCAGUGGUAAUGAAUGCAACUAGUAUCCAUGAGGAUGCAGGUUCAGUCCCUGGCCUUUCUCAGUGGGUUAAGGAUCCAGCUUUGUUGGAAAGAAUUUUAUUUUAUUUUAUUUUAUUUUAUUUUAUUUUAUUUUACUUUAUUUUAUUGUCUUUUUAAGGGCACACCUGAGGCAUGUGGAAGUUCCCAGCUUAGGGGUCAAAUUGGAGCUGCAGCUGUUGGCCUACACCACAGCCAAAGCAACAUGGGAUCUGAGCUAUGUCUGUGACCUACAUCACAGUUCAUGGCAACACCAGAUCCUUAACCCACUGAGCGAGGCCAGGGAUGAAACCUGUAUCCUCAUGGAUACUGAUCAGAUUUGUAACCUGUUGAGCCACACUAAGAACUCCAAAUAACAUCUUUAUUUAACAUAAUUUCUAACAUCUUACUUUUUUAAUAUUAAUGGUCAGUGUGAACACCAUGAUAUGAGCAGGUGUGGAGGCAUAAUUGAUUGAUUCCACAAGGUGAAGACUAAGAGUCUUGAUCUCUAAUUAUCUUAUGUCCACCAGGCCACCUACCAAAUGCUUUCACAUUAACUCUAUUUUCAGCUCAAAUAGUUGAAAAGAAUUUUGUUGAUUCAUCUCACAUUUUGCAUAUCUGUAUGAUGGACAUAAAACACUAGUGUUUUACUGUCCCUUAGAUGUGCCAUUCAACUAAUCUGUUUACCCAAACAACGAAAAUGUAAUAACAGAUAUGCCUAGGAAGCAGAGGUAGUUUUGAAGUAGCACUAGUUUUUAACACCUGCUCUUUAAGAAGAUGAUUAUAUUUGGAAGUCAUUUGAAAUUUAAGGGAAUUCAAUUACCAGAAAAGAAAAACAUGUUUUAAAUUGUAUUAGUUAAGUAUUUCAAACUGGAGAACUCAGGUAUUCCAUGUGUUCACUCAAUAACUAUUUCUGGACCUUCUAUAGUAGUCCCUGGGCUGUAAAUAAUAAAGUUGCUGUCCUCACAGAGUUUAUAUUUCUAGGGAGCCACUGGGAGUGAGAGGCAGGAGGUAAAGAAGUAGAAUAUGCGUGUGUUUAUGCAUAUAUUUAAGUGUGUUUAUAUAUAUGUAAGUUUAUAGAGAGAGUGAUAUAUCACUAAAUAUAUGUAUAUACAAAUAGUAAUAAACUUAAUUUUAAAUAAAAGCCACUCAUAGUAAAAAAUCCUUGCAUUGAAUCUCUAAAGUAAAGUUUUAGGUUACAGAGUUUAAAAUUCUUACUCACCAAAACUUCAUAUUUUAAUCAUUUCCAGACAGGAAAAUUUUGAUAAAAUAUCUCAGUCAUUAUUUUAGAUGGUUCAUGCAUUUGCUAGCUUAUAUUCCUUCUUCACUGGGGGCGAGGGGUCCCAUAGACCUGACUGUUUAAUUCACAACUUUUUUUUAAUUACAGUAUAGUUGAUUUACAGUGUUGUGCCAGUUUCUGCUGUACAACAUAGUGACCCAGUCGUACAUAUAUAUACAUAUUUUUUUCUCAUAAUAUCUUCCAUCAUGUUCUAUCCCAAGAGAUUGGAUAUAGUUCCCCAUGCUAUACAUUAGGACCCCUUUGCUUACCCAUUCCAAAUGUAAUAGUUUACGUCUACCAACUCCAAACCCCCCGUACAUCCCACUCCCUCUCCCCUCCCCCUUGGCAACCACAAGUCUAUUCUGCUUCUUUAUUCAUUUGAAGAACGUUUGUAGGUAUUCUAGAAUCUAAAGGAAAAAUCCCCAAGACUAUUUUGUACAUUAUCAGAUUGCACUGAGUGCAGUAGAGCUGGUGGGAAACAGAAAACUUGAACCCUGUGCAACUCAAAGGGGAAAAAAUUAUAACAAAGCAAGAGAAGCGAUUUCUGAUUUUGUUUUGUUUUGCUUUUUUAGGGCUGCACCUGCGACAUAUAGAAAUUCUCAGGCUAGGGGUCAAAUCGGAGCUGCAGCUCCCAGCCUACAGUACAGCAGCAUGGGAUCCAAGCUGUGUCUGUGACCUACACCAGAGCUCACAGCAUCGCUGGAUCAUUAACUCACUGAGUGAGUGAGGCCAGGGAUCAAACCUGCAUCCUCACAGAUGCUUUAAUGGGGUUUGCAACCUGCUGAGCCACAAUGGGAACUCCGAUUUCUGAUUUUUUUGUUUGUUUGUUUUUAAAUUGAAGUUCAAGCCCUCUUUCUGUUAAAGCACAGAAUAACGUGGGCAUGUUAUGCUGGUAUCAUGUAAUCUCAUGAAAAUUGGUUAUGAAGCCAGGGUCAUUGAUUUAUAUAUGUUACUUAGUAAGAAGUGUCAUAUCAGAUAUGUAAUUAGAGCUUGUGACAAAAGGAACAAUUCAAAUGUUGGGGGAAAAAAAGUGUCAGCCAGGCAUGUACUGUGGUGAGUUUCCAACUGAACAGUGAAUCAAUUGUUUUUAGUCAUUUUUGGAUGCAGUAUAAUGACCUCUUUAUUAAGCUCAGCAAUUGAGUAGGUAUUAACUCCAUUUACUUUGAUUGCAAUGAUAGAUAAAGUAGCCAAUUCCUUUUAGGGAAGAUGAAAAACAUCAUAACAUCACAUUCAUUUAAAAAAUAUUUAUUUCUUUUCAUGAUGCACAGGUUCACAUUUGAAAGCUUAUCUCCUUUUUAGGUUCUCUGAAUAUAUGGUUUGGGUGACUCUCUCAAAUUAAGAUCAUUCAGCUUUCAUGCCAUUGGUGUAAAAAAUCAGUGCUUGAUAAACAAAUGUGCCACACAGGAUUUUGCAGUUGUUCUUAAUUAAAAAAAAAACUAGAUUAAAAAAUAAUGUAGUCAGGCGAUAAUGUCUAAUGGCUUUUGUUUGUGUGUGUGUGUGUGUGAUUCCUUUUUUUUUUUUUUUUGGCCACACCCCCUGCAUGGGGACAUUCCUGGACCAGGGAUCAAAACCUCACCAUAGUAGUAACACAGCCACAGCACUGACAACACCAGAUCUUUAAUCUGCUGAGCCACCAGGGAACUUCUCUAUUGGCUUUUUGACAAUGAAGGGAAAGAGUGUUUAGGUGGAGAAGCACCAAUAGUGCCUCAGUGCUAAUUUUGCCUUUUUCCACUCCUCCAUAUAGAACGUAAGAAUAAAGAAAUGUCUGCCAAAGUAGAAGUUGUUGACAAAGUAAUUAUCCUUGGGUUUCAACCUUAGGUACUAAGAAUCUGCAAAAUGUAGCACUCGAAUAAUGGGGUAAUUAAAACUGAAUCCCUUUGAAUGUCAGAGCCGUACAAUCAUAUCAAAUAAUGCAAAAUUACUCUGAAUAUUAAGCCUAUUAAAAUACAUUAGAUAGAUUAUGGUAAUGUCAGAGGCUUCCUUACUUAAGCUGUGGAUACAUCUGCAGCUUCCUCGCAGGAGAGGCAUGUAAGUUGCAAGAGUUGGUAAGUUUACAGCAAAGAAAAACCAUUGUAUAUAAAGUGUUCUAGGUUGUUUAUUUCAGUUUUCUUAUAUCUCUUUCUGGAAAAUUAGCACAAAGCAGGGCGUAUAGGAGAAGCAAACAACUGUUAGUUGAAUUGAAUGAUGCUCUUGCUUAUUAAUUUGAGAGAUCAAGUACAAGCUUAGAAUUAUAAUAGAAGGGAUUUCUGCAUCUUGAAAAGUAACUGGGUCAUGGACUUUCAUCUCAUUUUUUUCCUUCAUGCGUUGAGCUAGGAGACUCAAGGGCUGUACAAAGUAAGGGAAAGACAAUUAAAAGAGGGAAUCCUCUUCCUUUGUUCAGACUCACUUCAGCCUGCUAAUGAAGAAAGCAAGAAUGGCAACUUGAUCACAUUGUUCCUGACACCCACAAUUCUUUGUUUAGCUGACUGCUGAACAAAACUUGUCCUUCCAUCUAAGUUUUCUGUCAGUGUCAUUCAGCCUUCAAGGGUGCCAGUGAAUCAAUCAUAAAAUCAAUUUUAGUAUGUUACCAUCAGCAUUUUUAAAUGCAAUACAAUAAAAACUACUAUUAAUAAAAACUAGAAUAUAUUCUGUAAUUAUUUUUAAUAAAGCCUUUAUUUCAGUUAUCCUUGUCUAUACAUGCUUAGCUCACAUGGUAAAAUGUGCAUUUUUUUACUAGGGUCACAGUCAAAACAGAAAACUGCUAUUACUAAUCUCAUCCCCUCACAUUCUUCUGAGCCUUUGUUUUCUUGAAUAAUUUGCCCUUUGUAACUCAGACAUUUUCAAAAUCUUCAUUUACUCUUUUCUGUCAGUUUAGACAGCUCUUUAGUUUCCCAGAAUUUCUAUUUUCAUAGCCAGCUCUUAGUAUAGUGAUCAUUGGAAGAAGUGACCACUAGAGGUUUGUUAUUUGAAGGAGUGAAUUAAUGAUGUUCUAAAGCGAAUUACAAUUUUGUAAGUCCAAAUGUCAACUUUUAGUAAAUUCCACCUUUCUUUUCCUGUAAGCCCUAGCAAUGAUUAUUGGCUAUGGCCACCAUUCAGUUGCCCUUUAGAAUUUCUGAGGAGUUCCCGUGGUGGCACAGCGGUUAACGAAUCUGACUGGGAACCAUGAGGUUGCGGGUUCCAUCCCUGCCCUUGCUCAGUGGGUUAACGAUCCGGCGUUGCCGUGAGCUGCGGUGUAGGUCGCAGACGCGGCUCGGAUCCUGCGCUGCCGUGGCUCUGGCGUAGGCCAGGGGCUAUAGCUGCAAUUCGACCCCUAGCCUGGGAACCUCCAUAUGCCGCAGGAGCGGCCCAAGAAAUG